rnacentral:other from 1 species
AAAAAUGUGAGUUUCGUGAUCUAGGCUGUGGACAGGGAAUCAUCAUUUUUGUUUUACUAUAGUCAACGCAAAACGCUUGCGUUUAUUUUCUAUUUUAAAGGUAAACUUGAUGUCUAAAUUAAAAGGUAACGUUAAGUGGUUUAACGAAACUAAAGGUUUUGGGUUUUAUCACUCCAGAAGAUGGCAGCAAAGAUGUAUUUGUACACUUUUCCGCUAUUACAUCAGAAGGCUUUAAAACCCUUGCUGAAGGUCAAAAAGUAGAGUUUGAAGUUACUGACGGCGCGAAAGGGCCAUCUGCUGCAAACGUUGUCGCUAUCUAAUUAACGACUUCUUUGAGACAGUAAAAACCCGUUGUUUAACGGGUUUUUAUAU